UUUGUUCCCUAAAUAGGGACUUGUAUGAACGGCCACACGAGGGCUUUACUGUCUCUUACUUCCAAUCCGUGAAAUUGACCUUCCCGUGAAGAGGCGGGAAUAUAAUAAUAAGACGAGAAGACCCUAUGGAGCUUUAAUUAACCGACCCAAAGAGACCAUAUGAACCAACCGACAGGAACAACAAACCUCUAUAUGGGCCGGCAAUUUAGGUUGGGGUGACCUCGGAGAAUAAAACAACCUCCGAGUGAUUUAAAUCUAGACUAACCAGUCGAAAGUAUCACAUCACUUAUUGAUCCAAAAACCUUGAUCAACGGAACAAGUUACCCU
rnacentral:rRNA from 1 species